rnacentral:rRNA from 1 species
AUUGAACGCUGGCGGCAGGCUUAACACAUGCAAGUCGAGCGGUAGCACAAGAGAGCUUGCUCUCUGGGUGACGAGCGGCGGACGGGUGAGUAAUGUCUGGGAAACUGCCUGAUGGAGGGGGAUAACUACUGGAAACGGUAGCUAAUACCGCAUAACGUCGCAAGCCCAAAGAGGGGGACCUUCGGGCCUCUUGCCAUCAGAUGUGCCCAGAUGGGAUUAGCUAGUAGGUGGGGUAAUGGCUCACCUAGGCGACGAUCCCUAGCUGGUCUGAGAGGAUGACCAGCCACCCUGGAACUGAGACACGGUCCAGACUCCUACGGGAGGCAGCAGUGGGGAAUAUUGCACAGUGGGCGCAAGCCUGACGCAGCCAGGCCGCGUGUGUGAAGAAGGCCUUCGGGUUGUAAAGCACUUUCAGCGAGGAGGAAGGUGGUGAACUUAAUACGUUCAUCAAUUGACGUUACUCGCAGAAGAAGCACCGGCUAACUCCGUG